UACUCUCCAUCUCCGUUACUUUCAUUCAACUCACAGUCUCCAUCAUCGUUCCAGUUUCACCGCGAUCUCUCUCUCCCUCUCUCAGACUCACCGCCAAAUCUCCACCGUGGUUGAUUUGUUGUCUCACAUUUUUCGAAUCCUUAUAGCUGUUCACUUUCUCAAGAUUCAUCUCUUAUAACCUAUGGGCUUUAUCUCCGGAGAUGAUUUCUCCAUUGCUGGCAAUCCGUCCGUCUCUCUCUCUCUCUCCCUCAAUUUCACACUCGUCGCAACAUUCAAUUUCAAAUCCUUAUAGAAUUUAUGGGCUUUAUUUCAUAAGAUAGAUUGCUCCUUGACGAAAUCCUAGAGUCCUCCUUCCUCUUUGGGACAAUUUAUUUCUCUCAAUCUUCUCAUUAGUCUUAAAAUGUUGGGCCUUUUCUGCUCAAGUAUGUGUAUGGCUUUUUCUGAAAUUAGAAAGGAUUUUGGGCAAAUUCAAUAGUUUUGGUAAGUUUCUGUUGAUAAUUGCAGAUGGCCAGGUAUAUAUUUUGCCUUGUUUCAUUUUUUUAAUUAUGCAGAGAGUAAUUUUAUUGACACAUAGCUGGGAUUAAGAAAUAGGCUGCUCAAGUGACUAUUGGUUUGGCACAGAUUUGCAUUCUCGUUGAAAUCUUUUUUUUUUUUUUUUAAUGUAAAUGAGAGUAUAAGAGGAAGUUUUGAUGAAAAUAUUUAACAAAAAAAAAACUGCAAGGUGUGUAUUAACUACAUAGAUAUGUGUGAAUAAAAUUUCUCUUAUGCAAAUAGAGUGCCAACUUGUUUCAUUUUGACUAAAAUGCUUGGAUUUGAAUCUACCCUUAAUUGAUAUGCAAAACUGCAAUGGUUGGAGAGUGAACCUAAUGUGACAAUCCUGUGUAAAGAUUGCAUUGAUGGGUUUCUUGGUUCAAUUGAGAAAGACGUAUCUAAUGUGUUUGUAAAUUGGGUUAAGAGCAAUCAGAUCAAAACUUUCUUUUAAUUAGAUAGCUCAAAUGUUGGGGAAAGAAGAAAGAGAAACAAUAGCUCAUAGUGGUAAGAAUGCUUUGUGAGGAUGUAUAUAAAAGCUUUACAUUUUUCUUUUCAGUUCAGUGAGUAAUAAGGCUAGACUGUGCCAAUUAUCUCCUCUCUCUUUUUCAUCCUUCAAGCUUUUCUUGGUUUGAAAUAAUCUCGGGCUAACUCUCUCUUUGGUUAACUCUAACGUAUCAGGUUACAAGCAAUAAUCCAGGUUGCCAUUAGCGUCAUCUUUGUUGCCGCUGUUCACUCAGAAAGGACUAACUAUUGGGUGCUUUCCGCGUAGACGUCCAUUUUGGGAAAGCUUAGUAAUUGUAAGUCAAUGCAUUCUUAGCAUAUUAUCUUAUGGGAUUUUGGCUCAAUCAUCUAAUUCCGUAUUGCAGUAGAUUUAGUUCUACUAUUUUUUGGUGUAACAUUUACUUUUGACUUUAUAUCAAUCUCUCGGCUUUGUAGUAUCCACUUUUGCAUGUUAGCCAGGAUUAUGAUCUAAAAACUAUUGGAAGGAAUAACAUACAGUGUGAUGUACUGUGAGGAUUGUGGAACCACAAUGCUUUGCUAAAGUUUGUGUUGAAUGUAUUUAUUUUUGUUGUAUUGUUCUAGAAUCAGCAUUGGUAAUUUCUUAUAUAUGUAAAGAUGUUCUAUGGGUAAAGCACAUGGUUGAGAAUGUUUGUAUGGACUAUUGAGCUCCUUCCUCC